rnacentral:rRNA from 1 species
GUGGGGAAUAUUGCACAAUGGGGGAAACCCUGAUGCAGCGACGCCGCGUGAAGGAUGAAGUAUUUCGGUAUGUAAACUUCUAUCAGCAAGGAAGAAAAUGACGGUACUUGACUAAGAAGCCCCGGCUAAAUACGUGCCAGCAGCCGCGGUAAUACGUAUGGGGCAAGCGUUAUCCGGAUUUACUGGGUGUAAAGGGAGCGUAGGCGGCAUGGCAAGUCAGAAGUGAAAGCCUGGGGCUCAACCCUGGAAUUGCUUUUGAAACUGUCAAGCUAGAGUGUCGGAGGGGUAAGUGGAAUUCCUAGUGUAGCGGUGAAAUGCGUAGAUAUUAGGAGGAACACCAGUGGCGAAGGCGGCUUACUGGACGACUACUGACGCUGAGGCUCGAAAGCGUGGGGAGCAAACAGG